rnacentral:rRNA from 1 species
GACGAACCGUGCGAACGUUAUUCGGAAUCACUGGGCUUAAAGCGCGUGUAGGCGGGUCAGCACGUCGAGCGUUGAAAUCCCCCGGCUCAACCGGGGAAGUGGCAUCGAAACGACUGGCCUGGAGGGGGGUAGGGGAAUCGGGAACUCACGGUGGAGCGGUGAAAUGCGUUGAGAUCGUGAGGAACGCCCGUGGCGAAAGCGCGGUUCUGGACCCCACCUGACGCUGAGACGCGAAAGCCAGGGUAGCGAACGGG